rnacentral:rRNA from 1 species
AGUCGAGCGCUCUCUUCGGAGGGAGCGGCGGACGGGUGAGUAACGCGUGGGAACGUGCCCUUCUCUAUGGAAUAGCCACUGAAAACGGUGAGUAAUACCAUAUACGCCCUUCGGGGGAAAGAUUUAUCGGAGAAGGAUCGGCCCGCGUUAGAUUAGGUAGUUGGUGGGGUAAAGGCUCACCAAGCCAACGAUCUAUAGCUGGUCUGAGAGGACGACCAGCCACACUGGAACUGAGACACGGUCCAGACUCCUACGGGAGGCAGCAGUGGGGAAUUUUGGACAAUGGGCGAAAGCCUGAUCCAGCAAUACCGCGUGCAGGAAGAAGGCCCUCGGGUUGUAAACUGCUUUUGUACGGAACGAAACGGCGCGCUCUAAUAAAGUGCGCUAAUGACGGUACCGUAAGAAUAAGCACCGGCUAACUACGUGCCAGCAGCCGCGGUAAUACGUAGGGUGCGAGCGUUAAUCGGAAUUACUGGGCGUAAAGCGUGCGCAGGCGGUUUUGUAAGACAGGCGUGAAAUCCCCGGGCUCAACCUGGGAAUUGCGCUUGUGACUGCAAGGCUAGAGUACGGUAGAGGGGGGUAGAAUUCCGCGUGUAGCAGUGAAAUGCGUAGAUAUGCGGAGGAACACCGAUGGCGAAGGCAGCCCCCUGGACCUGUACUGACGCUCAUGCACGAAAGCGUGGGGAGCAAACAGGAUUAGAUACCCUGGUAGAAGGGC